UUCCAUAACUAGCUUAUUUUAUGGAUCUAAUAAUUUAAAAAAUUUGGUUAAUAUAAUUUAAUAAAAUUAAAUACACAAACCAGUUAAUCAUAAUUCUCCCACUGACUUCACCAAGUUAGAUCAAGGUGGAUUAGAAACAAGCCAGUCUAACUGACAAGUCACAAAUCCUCCCACUGACUUCAUCAAGUCAUGAAGAAAACUAAGACAAGUUGAAAUAAGGCCACCUAAAUUAGUCACAACUGAUUUUCUAGUAAGCAUGGAUCAACGCUAAUCAUUAAGUGAUUUGAUCAAAAUAUAAUUCAUUAUAUUGGCCAGAUAAGUG
rnacentral:lncRNA from 1 species